rnacentral:rRNA from 1 species
UACGUAGGUGGCAAGCGUUGUCCGGAAUUAUUGGGCGUAAAGCGCGCGCAGGCGGUCCUUUAAGUCUGAUGUGAAAGCCCACGGCUCAACCGUGGAGGGUCAUUGGAAACUGGGGGACUUGAGUGCAGAAGAGGAAAGUGGAAUUCCACGUGUAGCGGUGAAAUGCGUAGAGAUGUGGAGGAACACCAGUGGCGAAGGCGACUUUCUGGUCUGUAACUGACGCUGAGGCGCGAAAGCGUGGGGAGCAAACCGG